CCUACGGGAGGCAGCAGUAGGGAAUAUUGGGCAAUGGGCGAGAGCCUGACCCAGCCAUGCCGCGUGCCGGAUGAAGGCCUUCUGGGUUGUAAACGGCUUUUCUCAGGGAAGAAAAAGCCCAUGCGUGGGACACUGACGGUACCUGAGGAAUAAGCACCGGCUAACUCCGUGCCAGCAGCCGCGGUAAUACGGAGGGUGCAAGCGUUGUCCGGAUUUAUUGGGUUUAAAGGGUGCGUAGGCGGCCCGUUAAGUCCGGGGUGAAAGCCCACAGCUCAACUGUGGAACUGCCCUGGAUACUGGCGGGCUUGAGUCCAGACGAGGUUGGCGGAAUGGAUGGUGUAGCGGUGAAAUGCAUAGAUACCAUCCAGAACCCCGAUUGCGUAGGCAGCUGACUAGGCUGGUACUGACGCUGAGGCACGAAAGCGUGGGGAGCGAACAGGAUUAGAUACCCUGGUAGUCCACGCCGUAAACGAUGGAUACUCGCUGGUGGCGAUAGACAGUCACUGGCUUAGCGAAAGCGGUAAGUAUCCCACCUGGGGAGUACGCUCGCAAGAGUGAAACUCAAAUGAAUGACGG
rnacentral:rRNA from 1 species